UACGUAGGUGGCAAGCGUUGUCCGGAUUUAUUGGGCGUAAAGCGCGUGUAGGCGGCUUGGCAAGUCGGGUGUGAAAUCCCUCAGCUCAACUGAGGAAGUGCGCCCGAAACUGCUUUGCUUGAGUGUCGGAGAGGAUGGCGGAAUUCCCCAAGUAGAGGUGAAAUUCGUAGAUAUGGGGAGGAACACCGGUGGCGAAGGCGGCCAUCUGGACGAUUACUGACGCUGAGACGCGAAAGCGUGGGGAGCAAACAGG
rnacentral:rRNA from 1 species